ACCUUUUGUAUAAUGGGUCAGCGACUUAUAUUCUGUAGCAAGGUUAACCGUAUAGGGGAGCCGCAGGGAAACCGAGUCUUAACUGGGCGUUAAGUUGCAGGGUAUAGACCCGAAACCCGGUGAUCUAGCCAUGGGCAGGUUGAAGGUUGGGUAACACUAACUGGAGGACCGAACCGACUAAUGUUGAAAAAUUAGCGGAUGACUUGUGGCUGGGGGUGAAAGGCCAAUCAAACCGGGAGAUAGCUGGUUCUCCCCGAAAGCUAUUUAGGUAGCGCCUCGUGAAUUCAUCUUCGGGGGUAGAGCACUGUUUCGGCUAGGGGGUCAUCCCGACUUACCAACCCGAUGCAAACUACGAAUACCGAAGAAUGUUAUCACGGGAGACACACGGCGGGUGCUAACGUCCGUCGUGAAGAGGGAAACAACCCAGACCGCCAGCUAAGGUCCCAAAGUCAUGGUUAAGUGGGAAACGAUGUGGGAAGGCACAGACAGCCAGGAUGUUGGCUUAGAAGCAGCCAUCAUUUAAAGAAAGCGUAAUAGCUCACUGGUCGAGUCGGCCUGCGCGGAAGAUGUAACGGGGCUAAACCAUGCACCGAAGCUGCGGCAGCGACACUAUGUGUUGUUGGGUAGGGGAGCG
rnacentral:rRNA from 1 species